UGUGUCACUUGGAUCACUCAAUUCUCUGUACUAGGUCUCAGUCACCCAAGGCGGAUGACUAAGGGGCCCCCCACUCCAACUGUGAGUCUGGGAUUCUCUGAAAUGUGGUAUUUUUCCAGGCUGUGGAGUUCCUCUAUGGCAGUCUGUGGGACACUGCUGGGGUGUUUUCCUCCAGGCUGAAGCUAAGGAGGAGUAUAAAGAGACAGUACUUGCUUCAGCCGCGGGCUGUGCAGACCUCUCCGAGGAUGACCUGGGGUCUGUCUUACACACCUUGGAGCCCUGCGGAUCUCUCCAAUGGUAAGUCCCCUCACGCACUUGGCACAGAACUGUGAGAAUGGCCUCUGAUGGUGCUUGCUUCCAUCAAUGUUCACCCAGGCCAGGUCUCCAAGGCCCAAGGUGGCCCUGCUUGUCCAGGGCUAAGGACUUCAUCCUCCGGGAGACUUCAAGCCCACCCAGAACCUAGUACUAGGCACGUGGGCUCUUCCUACCUCACACUGGGCCUCAGAGAGGCAACAUUCAACCUCCAAAGCCUGAGAGGCACUGGCCAGCUGGGUCCUGGACCCAGAGAUGCUCAAAAUGCCAGAGAGGGGAGGUCCCUUCCAGGCCAAGUGGUCCAACCCACUACCACUGACAUUUUGCAAUCAGGGAAACUGAGCCCAGAGAGGGGAAGGAGCUUGCAUAACACCCAAGUAGGCUGGUGGCAGGGUUACAACCAGAAUCUUUGUCUCCUGCCCAGGGCUCUCCCCUGCAUCAAACACAAUCCACUGAGAUCUAGGCUGAGCCCACCUCCAAUCCUCCAGAACCUUGACAAUCCUUGACAGAAGGCUCCUUCAGCUCAUCCCCUGUCUAUUCUAGGUGAUUCGAGAGAUUUCCCUUCAGCUGGAUGGUCCUUUAUCCUAAAGCUUCCUGGUGUUCCCUCCCCAUCUGCUCAGGGUUAAUCUUUUCCUGCUUCUAGGAUCUGCUCCAUCAACAGGCCAUAACUGCCGCUCCUGUUUUCUUGCUGUGGUCCAACCAACUCCUUGCAGCUCUAGCAUUUCCAAGGAUGGGGAGUCUCUGGUUGCGCCUAGGGUUUCCCUUCUGUCACUGGCCAGUCCCAGGUCUACUGCUUUCCCAUGACCACCUCAGCCUUGAACCCCAUCAGUCUCUCCUGGGAUGCUGCGGACCAUUCCUUGCAGACUCCCUCUCUGCUGGACCCAGGGCCAGUGGGAAUGAUAAGAGCUCACGUGUGGGGUUGCCAUGAAGUUUUAGUGAGUUAAUGCCCGCAUUAGGUAUAUAAGGUGCAUCUGUGAACUCUCAUGUUGCAAGGUAUGUUCAGGUGAUAAGAAGGAGAUCCUUGAAGCUAGCGCCUAUGGUGGCCUAGGCACCUGGGGGCAGAAGAGGGAAGGUGGCCGGGAGGAAUCUGGGGUAGUUGGGAGUGAUAGAAACCAGGAGUGUUUUAAGUUGGGGAAGAAGUUGGUUAGGUUGGCUUCUAGAAAAACGGCAAGGGGAGCUGAGUUGCCUCCCUGCCUAGACUUGCUGAGUACCGUGGGAGCCGGUGGUACCCGGGAAGGACCACACUGGGCCCAGGGCCAGAGCCCUCAGGAUGAUUUUGUGUGUGUCCCUCAACCUUCCCAGCCCCCCGUGUCCUUUUCUUUGGAACCGCUGCAGCCCCUAGCCCAGCCCAGCCCAUCUGGUGCUCUCGGACCAAGCUGGGCCAAGGCUACAAAAAGCCAGUGGGUGCCUGGGUCCUGUCAUUCCACAAUGACAGAGCCUGUGCUGUCUCCCAAAGCAGCCCAUGCCAUCUCCUCAGAGGCUUGUUCAAAAUUAUAUUUUUCAUAAAGGUGAAGUAAUGGUGGCCGACAGUCUGUCAUUCAACGUUGAUCGUGCUCCCUUCAUGCGGCGGGCAUUGUUCCAGGUGCUUUAAUGAUUUAACUCAUUUAACUUUCCAUCAAGCCUUUGAUGCAGGAGCUAUUAUUCUCCCCACAUCCCUGUUUAACAGAUGGGUAAACUGAAGCAUGAGAGGUUAAGCCAUUUCCCCAAUGUGAAGGAGCCAGGACUCCACAUGGAAGUCUCACCCCAGAGCCCCUCGCUGGACGCCCACCCUCUCCUGCCUCUCUGAGCCCCAGGAUCCCUCCCGCUCACCUGCAUUCCCACAAAGAAGUUACUGGCUUUCCCCACACACCCGUCUGCUCUCCCCCAUGGGCCCCCUCUUGGUCCUGCCCGUACACAGGAGCCAAGCCUCCUGGUCAAGGUGGGGGCUCAGCUGCCCUUAGCAGAGGCUGCCCCCUCUUCACCCGCACUCCACACACCUGUCAACACAGCCUCAGGCUGUGAGGGCUUCUCACAUGAUGCAGCUCCCCGUCCCUGUAAGGGGUCUCAUUUCCGCACUGCUCUGUCUACCCCACCCCACACAGCACAGCACAGCUCGACCAGCCAGUCACUAGACAUCCAGCAACUCGGCUCAAUUACACCUCCUUAGGGAGACCACCCUGGACUCCCCGGGCUCAGUCAGUCCUCGUUUGGCUCUUCCUACACACCUUGCCUCGCUUCUCUGCAGCAACCAUUUCACAUCCAUGGCUUAAGUGGCUUGAUGGUGUUUCUCGCUUUCUCACCAGCCUGGAUGCUCCGUGAAGUUAACGCCAGGCCUGUGUUCCCACACAUUGCAUCACCAGUGCCUAGCACAGAGCCUGGCACAAACUCAGUGCUCGGAUGUGUGUGCAUGAAUGAAAUACAUCUCUGAGGCCCUGCUCUGAGCCGGGUCCUCGGCUAGACACCGAGAAUGUGGAGACCAGACAGAGAUGCUGGUGAGGAGACAGCCAAGCAAACCAGCAAUGACAACAUAGGAUGAGGAAAUGCAGGAAGCUGUGGGGGCACUGAGAAAGGGUCCCAGACCCAACUAGAAGGACAGUAGGGCCAGGAGGAAUUCACCGGUGGGAGGGAGUGGGGGGGGGAGGGGGGGAGGACUCUGAAACUGGGCCGAACUAGUAAAUGAAGGGUGGAGGGUCUGUCUCCUCCUCCAGACCUCCUUGUCCCAAGGGCAAGGCCAGUGUCCUGAACUCCUGUCUACCACUUGAGGCUUACAGGAGUGUUGGGUCUCUGCUGUGCAUUCAUAGAGCAUUUUAGGUGAUUGAUUUUCCUCCCCUCCUUGGAACACGGCUGGUCUGACGCGCUCUUCAUUGUAUUAGUUGUGCCCUCUUCUCCCAGCCCUGCCUCCAGGUCCUUGCCCAAAGCAGCCUCACCUUUUCCCACCUGGCUACGCUCUCCCCUCCCCACCCACUCCACGGCUCCGUGUCCCUCACCUUCACGGUUCAGCCCACUCACCCAGCUCUGACCGUCUCAACGUGUGGGUGCCGGCAUGUACCCUCUUCACAUGAGAUUUGUUGAUUUCAUAACCAUAAAUAGAUAAAAUGUUCUGAAUAUCUCCCUGUGCAAGUAGAUUGGGGGAGUGAUCACAUAAUGAAAAGGCCUUGGGAGAAAGAAAACAGGCUGCUAAAGAAGCAGCUGAAGACUAGACAGCCACUGCACAGACCAGCUCUAUACAGCGAUUAAACUUCCACUCCACAGACUGGUGAACCCUAGGCCUGGGACUGGGGUGAUACUUGGGAAUCUGUUAGAGAACUUUUGUGUGGUUUCAAGCUCAUGGAUUCAAAAGAACAAUCUGGUAAAAAAAAUAAUAAUAAUAAUAAAAUGGAAAGAAAUAGAAAUCGGGGACCCUGGUUGCUGAUUCUGGAAUUAUUUCAUUCUAGCUGUGUGACCCUGGACAACUUAAUAAACCUCUCUGAGAAGGUGCAUAGAGAUUCUUCCCCGUGGUUAGACUGGAGGCUCCGGGAGGCCCGGGUCCUCAUAAUACCAUGACUCUCUUCCCAUCAGGGCUUUCUGUCUUAAUCACCAAAUAUGGGACACCCCCUUCCCAAAACGCAGUCUUGAGACUAGGGUUGAGGUAAGGAUGGAAUGGAGUACCCUGAUUUUUUGUUGCCAACUCCAACUUUGUUGCCAUGGCAGCAGGAUGUGGAGCAUCACUCCUGCAUGGGGAGGCUCCAUCUAUCUAGCUACAAAGCCUAGCUUCUAGCCUAGUAAGGAGCCCAGCCCAUGAGGCUCCCCAAUCUCUCCUCCCCUAGUAGUGCAGAGACACUACUAGUGCUUCUUGGCAUUUGGAAGGAUAAAGGAAGAUAAACUGACAGCUUGGUAUGCCCUGGGCCCGGAGAGCUUCUGGCUGAGAAAGAGAGAGACAAGUGGAGAUAUUCCUUGUGUGAAGUCAUCCUACCCUAAAGGUUGGAAAACUUGCUCUGCAGAGGGUCAGUCUGUAAAUAUAUUAGGUUUUCAAGCCAUUUCGUCUCUGUUGUGACUGCUCAACUCUGCCAUUGUAGGGUGAAAACAGCCAUAGACAAUACAUAAACAAAUAGAUGUAGUUGUGUGUCAAUAAAACUUUAUUUACAAAAACACUCAGUGGGCCAGAUUUGGAAUGCUGGCCAGAGUUUGCAGACCCCUGCUGUACCCCAUAGUGCAAGAGAAAGAGCCUGGGCUGGGGGCAGGGAACUAGGCUUAAGACCCAGAACCACCAAUGACUUGCUGUGUGAAUUUGGGUAAGUCAGUAUCUAUCUCUGAUCCUCAGUUUCACCAUCUAUCAAAUUGCUAUAACAGUAUCAGCCAGAUUUGCCAUGAGAAUAGGUCUAACAGGUCAGAGCAAAUCUCAAGUCUUUCCAUCACUUCAAGUAGAGCUAACUCCCCUCCCAAGGCCAUACCCUUGCCUGCUAAGGGUGGCAGCAGCCUGCUGGAAGGAAGAGGUGUUUCUCUCUAGAGUCAGAUCCUUAGUCUGGCUUUCCAACCUCCAUCCUCAAGUGACCCCAUUUCUGUAGCAAGCCAAGCACAGGAGGAAACGAGGAAUCCCUUCUUUUCCACCAUCCAGUCAUUUGGCAGGAGGCUACAGUUCACUUGAGAAAGUGAUGUGGCUGCAGUGGCUCGUGGCCAGGCUUUAGAGGAGGCUUUUGAGAAUCAAGAGUUAGGAAAGGUGAGAUUCAGUGCUCCCCAGAUCAUUUAUCUAUGUAUCAGGGAAGCUGGGGUGCAUGGCAAGAAGACACAGUCGCGAUCUGGUGGUGACUCACAGCACCAUCAAUUGCAUUAAUGGAUGUUUCUUGAGCCAUCUUGUCUGCCUGUCUGGUCUGACCACCACUGAGAUCUCGUGUCCUUUGGCAUCUUGUCAUAUGCUCUGAAGACCCAUAAAGUGAUUCUCUAUCCCCCCCACACACACUCUCUCUCCUUCUCUCUCUCUCUCCCCUCCUCCCUUUCCUCUCUCUUUCUCCUUCUUGUAUCAUAAACACAUUUAUCCAGGGCAGGACAGAAUACACUGCAACAGUCCUCUGUCAAGAAAGAUCCUUGCCCCAAAUAUCCAGAAAAGCAGCCCUAACCAGGAGUCUCCAUACUGUUCUAGAGAAGCAGACACCCCCCCCCCUUCCCAUCACUUUCCAUCUCCCUCUCAGGAGGCCAUCCUCCCCAAAAUCUCUGGAAAAGAUACACCUUCUCUUUGAGAGUGGGUAAGGGGUGAUGUCUCUCCAGGUCCCCAAUAAAGCUAUGCAAGACAGGAGCAAGGGAUCUCACGGCCUGUUCUUGCUAUAAAAAGACCUUUUUCAGAAAAAAAUAAUAAAGAAAGAAAUCAGCCAAUCCGUC
rnacentral:lncRNA from 1 species